UUGCCUCAGUAACGGCGAGUGAAGCGGCAACAGCUCAAAUUUGAAAUCUGGCCCCCCGGGCCCGAGUUGUAAUUUGUAGAGGAUGCUUCGGGCGUGGUCCGGCCUAAGUCCCUUGGCACAGGGCGUCAUAGAGGGUGAGAACCCCGUAUGUGGCCGGGUGCCUAGGCCCGUGUGAAGCUCCCUCGACGAGUCGAGUUGUUUGGGAUUGCAGCUCAAAAUGGGUGGUAAAUUUCAUCUAAAGCUAAAUACCGGCCAGAGACCGAUAGCGCACAAGUAGAGUGAUCGAAAGAUGAAAAGCACUUUGGAAAGAGAGUUAAACAGUACGUGAAAUUGUUGAAAGGGAAGCGCUUGCGACCAGACUUGGGCGCGGCCGAUCAUCCGGCGUUCUCGCCGGUGCACUCGGCCGCGUGCCAGGCCAGCAUCGGUUCCGGCGGCCAGACAAAGGCCGGGCGAACGUGGCUCCCCCCGGGGAGUGUUAUAGCGCCCGGCGCCAUGUGGCCUGCUGGGACCGAGGACCGCGCCUCUGGCUAGGAUGCUGGCGUAAUGGUCGCAAGCGACCCGUCUUGAAACACGGACCAAGGAGUGGAAUAAUCAUGCCGAGUGUUUGGGUGCAAAACCCAUGCGCGAAAUGAAAGUGAACGGAGGUGAGAGCCCGCCAGGGCGCAUCAUCGACCGAUCCUGAUGUCUUCGGAUGGAUUUGAGUAAGAGCAUGGCUGUUCCGACCCGAAAGAUGGUGAACUAUGCGUGGAUAGGGUGAAGCCAGAGGAAACUCUGGUGGAGGCUCGCAGCGGUUCUGACGUGCAAAUCGAUCGUCAAAUCUGUGCAUAGGGGCGAAAGACUAAUCGAACCAUCUAGUAGCUGGUUCCUGCCGAAGUUUCCCUCAGG
rnacentral:rRNA from 1 species